rnacentral:rRNA from 1 species
CACGUAGGGGACGAGCGUUGUCCGGAAUCAUUGGGCGUAAAGCGCGCGUAGGCGGCCCGGCAAGUCGGAUGUGAAAUCCCGGGGCUCAACCCCGGGCCUGCAUCCGAUACUCCCGGGCUGGAGGCAGGUAGGGGAGAUCGGAAUUCCUGGUGUAGCGGUGAAAUGCGCAGAUAUCAGGAGGAACACCGGUGGCGAAGGCGGAUCUCUGGGCCUUGCCUGACGCUGAGGCGCGAAAGCUAGGGGAGCGAACAGG